GCCUUUGUAGCUCAGUUGGUAGAGCGCGGCUUUUGUAAAGCCGAUGUCGCAAGUUCAAAUCUUGUCGAAGGCU
rnacentral:tRNA from 1 species